rfam:Citrus clementina cultivar Clemenules unplaced genomic scaffold scaffold_3, whole genome shotgun sequence.
AUGCCAUGAUGAGAGCAUCUUCUGAGAAACUCUUUAAAUCUCUCCCAAGUCCCAAACAAGCUCUCAUCUGCAAGUUGAUGAAAAGAGGUGAUCUCAUUCCGCAAUUU